rnacentral:lncRNA from 1 species
AAAGAAAAGCAAAAUGAAAAAAAGAGAGAAAAGAAAAAUGCCACAAACAAGUUGGGACAAAGUAAUGAUAAUCUUUUUGUGAGAAAUGAAAUGGAAAAAAUAGGGAAAUGAUGUGGAAUGGGGCAAAAUGCUAAGUUGUAUCAAAUGAUGAGAAAUGAUCUUUUAGUUUUAAACCCUUUAAACACAUGUUUUGAGCCUAUUUUAUCCAUUUCUUUCAUGACCCCUCAC